ensembl:lncRNA
GUUCUUCAGUUGCAGAUUGCAUAAUUCUCUGCAUAGUUAAUUAGCCUUGUUUCCAUGUUCAUCAAUGGUCAGGACCACCAUAGGACCACUACAGUUGGCUGUAGGUUUUCUCGUAAUUUCACUUCUUUAAUUGGUUGGUCUCAGCCUUGAAAUCACACUGGCCUGAAAAUCUACAACUUUAUUUAAAAACUUGAGCAGUACUUCUGUGUGUGAUCUAAUCUAUGUAACACAAGCACUCACUAACAUGCCACUACCAUCACUUUGGCCCUGUGGGGAUCCUAACAAUUGAUAAAUGGCAGAAAAGGCAGGCUAACAAAGUAUGCAGAGAAACUGAUGGACUACAAUCUGUAAUUGUAGAACGUCACAUUGCACCUAUAUGAUAAUUGGACCAGAUAAAAAAGACAGUAAGUGUAGAUACAAGGUACGUCUAAUAAAGUGGCCAGUGACUUAUUACAACAGUAUGUAGGUAUGUAAUGACUUUUUAUGAUACUGUUACAUUUUACCAGCUAUAUGUUUUCUUUUUAAGGUUUCCAUGCUACAAGGAAAGCUAACAGAAAAAGAGAGUGACCUUAAAGAAAUUAUACUUAGUCUCCAAGAGACCCAACAGAGCUACAGUGAACUUAAAAAAUCUGAAAAACGGCACCAGGAAUUACUUCACAUCUCUAAACAAGAACAGGAUAAACUUGAGGAGAAAUUGAAAAGGACAGAACAACUCAGACAGGAAACUGAGGUUUCUGCUAUGUAACUUGAAGAAUGAACUUGUUUACUUGUGGACUUUAGACUAUUCUAUUGAUAAACAUUAGUUCCACAUUACUUGAUGUUUCCAUAGGAACGCCAGAAGAUAUUAGCAAGCAUACUUGAGGAAACCAAAGAAAAUUAUGCAAAGAGCCUUCAAGAGACUGAUGCCAAACUUGAGGGAGUGAAUACUCUCAAAGAACAACUGGCCGACAAACUGAAAGAGACAGGAAUUACUGUGGAGUCUUUGCAAUGUUCACUAACAUCUGAGAAACAGAGGUAAGUUGACAGAGAAGACCUUUUUA